rnacentral:rRNA from 1 species
GAUGAACGCUAGCUACAGGCUUAACACAUGCAAGUCGAGGGGAAACGACAUCGAAAGCUUGCUUUUGAUGGGCGUCGACCGGCGCACGGGUGAGUAACGCGUAUCCAACCUGCCCAUCACUUGGGAAUAACCUUGCGAAAGUAAGACUAAUACCCAAUGAUAUCCCACGAAGGCAUCGGAAUGGGAUUAAAGAUUUAUCGGUGAUGGAUGGGGAUGCGUCUGAUUAGCUUGUUGGCGGGGUAACGGCCCACCAAGGCAACGAUCAGUAGGGGUUCUGAGAGGAAGGUCCCCCACAUUGGAACUGAGACACGGGCCAAACUCCUACGGGAGGCAGCAGUGAGGAAUAUUGGUCAAUGGGCGAGAGCCUGAACCAGCCAAGUAGCGUGCAGGAAGACGGCCCUAUGGGUUGUAAACUGCUUUUAUAAGGGAAUAAAGUGGGUCACGUGUGACUUUUUGCAUGUACCUUAUGAAUAAGGACCGGCUAAUUCCGUG